AUUCCCCACAUGGUAUUCAUCACAAAAAUGCCUGGUAUUCAUCACAUGGUAUUCAUUACUGCUUAACCAAUUAUGUCAAUUAUGUCAUUUUCUUUGUCAAUUAUGUUGUCUCAUUGUUACAUUCAGUAUACACAUGUAUAUACAUCUCCUCCUCUUCAUGUAUCAUUCCUGCUUGACAACGGUACAAGAAUCUGUAUAGAAACGUCGAAC